rnacentral:misc_RNA from 1 species
GGGAAAGGCUUUCAAUAAUUAGAAAUGAAAGCAAUUUGCACUUUGACUAUGCCUUAGCACGGUAUUCAUGACCCUGAAUUGAAACUGCUAUAACCCUAAAGUCUCAUCUAAAGUAUAUUCUCUAUAAUCUCUGGUUUCUCACAAAAUUAUAUUUUCCAGAAUCGAACAAUCUCUGGUUUUUCACAAAAUCUGUGGUCAUAGGGUCAGCCAAAAUUAUAGAUUUUUAAUAUAUCAGCUAAAAAAGUACAUAUUUUUUAGUUCCCCA